rnacentral:lncRNA from 1 species
CUUAAUCAUUUUAAUAACCAUACAUCAUCAAAUACUUACACAUCACUCAUUAGCAAAAUCAUCAUUACAAACAUACAAAAUAACUAAAUCCCUAUACAUGCCAUAACUCAAACGUGUUUCGAUAUAAAAUACCGAGCAAUUGUAGUUGAUAGUGUGGACGAUCUCCGACUUCUUUAGGAUCCUUGAAGUAGCUUUGCAAUACUAUAAGAGAAAGAGAAAUAAAAGAAGUAAGCAUAAAGCUUAGUAAGUUUACUAGCAAAUAAAUAACAAUAUUUAACUUAAAUAAUUAAACUCAAUGUCUAUAUCUCUAGUUUACUCUUUAGUUAAUCUCAUACUAGUUCUCUUACUUGUUUACUUAGAAUACUUGUGUGCAUAACUUACUCAAUCAUUGCUGCAUCGUUGAACAUCAAUUGAUAGUAUAAUAAGUUCUUAAGUCUUACAACUUACCUGAGCUUGCCAUUUAUGCUUUAAACUGAACUUUCAUGAACAUGAUUCGUUUACAAGCCCGUUGAGCUACAUUGGAAUAAUAAGGAUACUCGGGUCUCUUCUGAUAAUAACAUGCCAAAGCCAUGUCCCAGACAUGGUCUUACAUGGGAUGUUCUCGUGAUGGUGCCCAUGCCAUGUCCCAGACAUGGUCUUAUAGGGGACCUCUCAUCUCGGUGCCAACGCCAUGUCCCAGGCAUGGUCUUACAUGGGACCUCUCGUCUCGGUGCCCAUGCCAUGUCCCAGACAUGGUCUUACAGGGGACCUCUCGUCUCGGUGCCCAUGCCAUGUCCCAGACAUGGUCUUACAUGGGAUCUCUUUACCCAAAUGUCAUGACAUUCGUAUCCAGUAUCAUCCUUAUGUAUCAACGGGACUUUUAAAUUUUAAUUCUCUAUCAUUUCAUGCUUGGAUCAUCAUCAAAUAAAUUCAUAAAAUAAAUUCAUAAUUGCUGGAAAUUAACAGCAUUAAUAAUAAAUAUUGAAAUAUUGCAUUUAUUUACCGUAAACUUACCUCGCUACCAAUUAUAGCCAAAUUCACCAACUUAGUCUUCAACUUUAUUCUUCCCUUUGUCUAACCUCGAGUUUCGUACUUCUUGAUCUAAAAUAGUAAAUUUAACUUAUUUAAUAAUCACAUUCAUCAAAACAGCCCUCGACUCUAACUUUUUCAAAAUUACAAUUUUGCCCCUAAACUUUUACAUAAUUACAUUUUUGCCCCAAGGCUCGGAAAUUAAACUUCAUCUCUUAUUCUUAUGUUUUAUAACAUUCUGAACAUUUUUCCCUUCUAUGGCAACAUCAAAUUCCCACUCUAACAUGUACUUAUGAACAUUAGGUAUUUUUACCGAUUAUGUCGUUUUACUCGUUUUCACUUAAAAUCGCUUAGCAAAAGUUGUUUAACAUAAUUUCUAGCUUCAUAUCCUAUCAUAAAACAUCAAAAUAAACACUUUUCACCUAUGGGUAUUUUUCCAAAUAUAAACCCUAGGUUAAAUUAUUGCUAGAAUAAGCUAAAUUAAGCUACCGGGAUCUCAAAAACGUAAAGAACAUUAAAAACGGGGCUUGGGAUCACUUACUAUGGAGCUUGGAAGCUUGAAAACCCUA